rnacentral:rRNA from 1 species
UACAGAGGGUGCGAGCGUUGUCCGGAAUCACUGGGCGUAAAGGGCGCGUAGGCGGUCAGCACAAGUCAGUUGUGAAAUCUCCGGGCUUAACUCGGAAAGGUCAACUGAUACUGUGCGACUAGAGUGCAGAAGGGGCAACUGGAAUUCUCGGUGUAGCGGUGAAAUGCGUAGAUAUCGAGAGGAACACCUGCGGCGAAGGCGGGUUGCUGGGCUGACACUGACGCUGAGGCGCGAAAGCUAGGGGAGCAAACGGG